UUAGUCGUGACGACGCAAGCAUUUACAUAACCUAAUUCUAUCGUCUAUAUUCGCUCCUGAAACUUCACGCUUCCUCUCCAUCGGUUUCUUUAUCUCUCUACGAUUCACAAAUCAUCCAGAUCAGAUCUUCUGACUUACUAGAAAAAAAAAUAUGGUUGAAGCAGAGGAGCUGAUUGAAGAUUAUUGGCCUUUCGAAUCCAGAAAAUUUCUGGUGACAAAUCUUUCUUAUGCGUUGAAAGAUGUCAAUACAUCCAUGGUUGGAGUUUCCGGCAUGGGUGGAGUGGGGAAGAAUACUUUUUCUAAAGAAGUUGGUAGGGAAGUAAUUGAAUAUCUUCUCAAGGGUUUUGUAAAGGCAUCGAAAACUCAGAAUCUAGAUCAGAUUCAAAAAACUAGCAUGCAAGAGCUAGAUCUUAUAAUAUUAAUUAAGGGUACCAAGGUACUCUUAAUUUUAGAUGAUGUGUGGAAUGAUCUAGAUCUGAGUAUGGUUGAAAUUCCUCCUCAAGCCUAGAGCCUUUUCAGGAAAACUCCAGGUGAUGUUAUUGGAUCACUUGGAAUGAAUUCAAUAUUAGAUGUAUGCAAGGAAUGUGGAGGGUUACCUAUUGUCAUUUGUACUAUAGCAAGAGCAUUAAAGAACAAGACAUAUCGGUUUGAAUGACAAGGUGCCUUACAAGAAUUGAGAAUGCCUACACCAACAAAGUUCAUACAUUUUCCAGAAGAUCAUGAAAUCAAAUAUAUUUUUUUAUGUACUUGAAGGAGUUAACCUUAUAAUGGAAUAAACAUAAAAUAGACUAGAUAAAGUGGUUGUGAACUCAAAGACUCUUGAUUGGUAUUCGACAAUAUAAAAUAGAUAAAGUGGUUGGUGAACUCAAGGACCCUUGUUUGUUACUCAGUGAAGCAGACUAGGCAAAUUGGUUCAUGAGCUCAAAGACUCUUGAUUGUUACUUACAAUUGUAUUAGUUUUACAACAUUCUACCCAUGAUGUUGUUCAUGAUGUUAUGAUAACAAUUAGCUUUCAGCCUUGUGGUUAUCUGGAGCUUGAAUUUUUCUACUAAUGUGGAGGCUCUUUAAACUUUUCGGAUAAUUUUUUCAAGGUGAUUUGUAAGCUGAAAGUUUUAAAUUUGUUUAUGAUGUUGCUACCAUUGUUACUGAUAUUAUCAUAGAACCGAAGAAACUAAAAGUCCUCAGUUAGGAGUCAAGUAUCAGGUUGAUUGACUUAACCAAGUUGUUAGAUUCAAACAAAUGGGAGCAAUUUGAAGUGUUUGCACCAUAUGUAAUAUUAAGCUUAUAUUGAAAUAAGUGUACAAGGGGAAAGCUCUGUUGAAUGCAAAUGUAAUGGCAAAUGGUGUGCUCUGUUAAGAUUUA